CAGAAGGGGAUAACACUUGAAAACAGGUGCUAAUACCGUAUAACACUAUUUUCCGCAUGGAAGAAAGUUGAAAGGCGCUUUUGCGCCACUGAUGGAUGGACCCGCGGUGCAUUAGCUAGUUGGUGAGGUAACGGCUCACCAAGGCCACGAUGCAUAGCCGACCUGAGAGGGUGAUCGGCCACACUGGGACUGAGACACGGCCCAGACUCCUACGGGAGGCAGCAGUAGGGAAUCUUCGGCAAUGGACGAAGGUCUGACCGAGCAACGCCGCGUGAGUGAAGAAGGUUUUCGGAUCGUAAAACUCUGUUGUUAGGGAAGAACAAGGAUGAGAGUAAAACGUUCAUCCCUUGACGGUAUCUAACCAGAAAGCCACGGCUAACUACGUGCCAGCAGCCGCGGUAAUACGUAGGUGGCAAGCGUUGUCCGGAUUUAUUGGGCGUAAAGCGAGCGCAGGCGGUUUCUUAAGUCUGAUGUGAAAGCCCCCGGCUCAACCGGGGAGGGUCAUUGGAAACUGGGAGACUUGAGUGCAGAAGAGGAGAGUGGAAUUCCAUGUGUAGCGGUGAAAUGCGUAGAUAUAUGGAGGAACACCAGUGGCGAAGGCGGCUCUCUGGUCUGUAACUGACGCUGAGGCUCGAAAGCGUGGGGAGCGAACAGGAUUAGAUACCCUGGUAGUCCACGCCGUAAACGAUGAGUGCUAAGUGUUGGAGGGUUUCCGCCCUUCAGUGCUGCAG
rnacentral:rRNA from 1 species